ACGGAAGGCAGCAGUGGGGAAUAUUGCACAAUGGGCGAAAGCCUGAUGCAGCGACGCCGCGUGAGUGAAGAAGUAUCUCGGUAUGUAAAGCUCUAUCAGCAGGGAAGAAAAUGACGGUACCUGACUAAGAAGCCCCGGCUAACUACGUGCCAGCAGCCGCGGUAAUACGUAGGGGGCAAGCGUUAUCCGGAUUUACUGGGUGUAAAGGGAGCGUAGACGGUUUGGCAAGUCUGAAGUGAAAUGCGGGGGCUCAACUCCUGAACUGCUUUGGAAACUGUCGAACCAGAGUGCAGGAGAGGUAAGUGGAAUUCCUAGUGUAGCGGUGAAAUGCGUAGAUAUUAGGAGGAACACCAGUGGCGAAGGCGGCUUACUGGACUGUAACUGACGUUGAGGCUCGAAAGCGUGGGGAGCAAACAGGAUUAGAUACCCUGGUA
rnacentral:rRNA from 1 species